CGACUUUAUCUCUCAUAAUUAAGAGAUAUAAAGUCUGCCUGACCUUGCGUAGCGAGUCGCAUCACUUCCUUCCAGUUCGAAACUUGGACCUCGUUGUCAGAGUUGGACCUGCAAGUGGCAUGUACACUGUCUCAUCUCAGUCCCUCUCCUAAUCCAGCAAGCACAUAUUCAGCCAACGGAUGCUCUACGGAAGGAGAAGAAACCCAUGAUUAACACAGGAUGGAUGGGCUGUGUGACUUCUUGAGGUUGCGGAAUGUACUGGAGGAAACCAUACAGCAACUAGAAAAGGAUAAGAUUGAUCCCAAUGUCCUACUUGUCAUGACAGAUGCCCAGUUAACUACGUAUCUACCAUCCUAUGGGGACCGACUGGCUGUCCUUGGAUAUUGCAGACGGAAGGGAAAUUGUCCUGUUGCCCGCAAAUCUAAACUUUUUGAGCGACUGAAAGCCAAGAUAUCAAGAAGUGGGGAUCGUGAACAUUUGUCUGAGAAGUGCUAAGACAAGCCUAGCCUACGCAUUACUGGUCUUACCGUCCGGCUGUAUUUUUCGUCUUUUGGGCAGCCGUGAUCUGGACAUCAUUUGCUUGAAGCUCAACCCAUUCACUCACUCAAAAAUGCUGAGGAAUAUCUUUUCCUUCGACAUUGAGGUCGUUCUUAUAGACCUCCCUUAGCUGUCGCUUCCAAAAUGGUGUCAGCGUCUUCAUCAAACUGGAGCCACUCCUCCUUGCAAGCUUGGGGCCACUUAACAGUGUUCUGUGGAUCUGUAUGGUUCUGGGGCAUGUGUCACCUGGAGGUUCUGAGCUCUGUGGGGUGACUUCUGGUAUGGCUCCUCCUACGUCUCACUGCACAGAGGUAGUCCCUGUGUGUUGACACCGGCACCAUCUACAUUUCCUGCGGAUCUUCAGGCCAUGGGUUUUACACACCUUGCCAGUCAAUACUCUUUUCUUCUUUGAAUCAUUAUUGGUGAAAUGAUUGAACUACUACUGUGCUUUGUUCUAGCGAGUCUUGUACUGUGCUUUGUUCUAGUUUUGGGAUCUUCAAAAAGCGCCUAAAGACUCAUCUGUUUACCUUGUAUCUAACAGAGUCCUUACAGAGUUGUGGUUUGUAUAUGUUUAUGUUUAUGGUUAUUAUUCUGUUAAAUUUUAGUCUAUAUUACUAUUAUUUGUAUUCUUUUUUUAAUGUAGGGGUAUAUGAGUACAUUAAACUGUCAGUGCAAUGUUUAUUGAUGUCAAGGCCGUAGCCAUAGGAUCAACAUUCAACAUUCUAUUGUAUCUGUCUGGCAUUGAGGGAUGAAUAAAUUACAACCACAAC